rnacentral:rRNA from 1 species
GUUUAACAAGGUUUCCGUAGGUGAACCUGCGGAAGGAUCA